rnacentral:misc_RNA from 1 species
GGAAGUAAAAGUCGUAACAAAGUUUCCGUAGGUGAACCUGCGGAAGGAUCAUUAUCGUACAAAAUGUGAGGGGCAUGCGAGGGCUGUCGCUGACCCAAAAGUCGUGCACGCCCGAGUGUGUCCUCUUGCAUAAUAAUCCAUCUCACCCUUUUUGCAUCACCGCGUGGGCACCCUUCGGGAUCAGCUCGGAGGGGGGCUCGCGUUUUCACACAAACCCCCCUUUUAAAAGUGUAGAAUGACCACAUUUAUGCAAUCAAUACAACUUUCAACAACGGAUCUCUUGGCUCUC